AUUGAACGCUGGCGGCAUGCCUUACACAUGCAAGUCGAACGGCAGCACGGGAGCAAUCCUGGUGGCGAGUGGCGAACGGGUGAGUAAAGUAUCGGAACGUGCCCAGUCGUGGGGGAUAACGUAGCGAAAGUUACGCUAAUACCGCAUACGAUCUAUGGAUGAAAGCGGGGGAUCGCAAGACCUCGCGCGAUUGGAGCGGCCGAUAUCGGAUUAGGUAGUUGGUGGGGUAAAGGCUCACAAAGCCGACGAUCUGUAGCUGGUCUGAGAGGACGGGCAGCCACACUGGGACUGAGACACGGCCCAGACUCCUACGGGAGGCAGCAGUGGGGAAUUUUGGACAAUGGGCGAAAGCCUGAUCCAGCCAUGCCGCGUGCAGGAUGAAGGCCUGCGGGUUGUAAACUGCUUUUGUACGGAACGAAAAGGUUUGGCCUAAUAAGCUGAGCUCAUGACGGUACCGUAAGAAUAAGCACCGGCUAACUACGUGCCAGCCGCCGCGGUAA
rnacentral:rRNA from 1 species